CCUACGGGUGGCAGCAGUGGGGAAUAUUGGACAAUGGGCGAAAGCCUGAUCCAGCCAUGCCGCGUGUGGGAAGAAGGCCUUCGGGUUGUAAAGCACUUUCAGUGGGGAAGAAAGCCUUGGGGCUAAUACCCUCGAGGAAGGACAUCACCCACAGAAGAAGCACCGGCUAACUCCGUGCCAGCAGCCGCGGUAAUACGGAGGGUGCGAGCGUUAAUCGGAAUUACUGGGCGUAAAGCGCGCGUAGGCGGUCUGAUAAGCCGGUUGUGAAAGCCCCGGGCUCAACCUGGGAACGGCAUCCGGAACUGUCAGGCUAGAGUGCAGGAGAGGAAGGUAGAAUUCCCGGUGUAGCGGUGAAAUGCGUAGAGAUCGGGAGGAAUACCAGUGGCGAAGGCGGCCUUCUGGACUGACACUGACGCUGAGGUGCGAAAGCGUGGGUAGCAAACAGGAUUAGAUACCCCAGUAGUC
rnacentral:rRNA from 1 species